UACGUAGAGGGCGAGCGUUGUCCGGAUUCAUUGGGCGUAAAGCGCUUUAAGGCGGUUCGGUAAGUCGGGUGUGAAACCUCCAGGCUCAACCUGGAGACGCCACUCGAUACUGCUGUGACUAGAGUUCGGUAGGGGAUCACGGAAUUCCUGGUGUAGCGGUGAAAUGCGCAGAUAUCAGGAGGAACACCGGUGGCGAAGGCGGUGAUCUGGGCCGACACUGACGCUGUAGAGCGAAAGCGUGGGGAGCGAACAGG
rnacentral:rRNA from 1 species